GACGAACGCUGGCGGCGUGCUUUAUACAUGCAAGUCGAACGAUGAAGUUCCUUCGGGAAUGGAUUAGUGGCGAACGGGUGAGGAACACGUGAGAAACCUGCCUUUCAUUCUGGGAUAACACCGGGAAACCGGUGCUAAUACCGGAUACUCCGUCUUGGCGGCAUCGCCGAGCCGGGAAAAAAUUUUGAUGAAAGAUGGUCUCGCGGCCUAUCAGCUAGUUGGUGAGGUAAAGGCUCACCAAGGCGACGACGGGUAGCCGGCCUGAGAGGGCGACCGGCCACACGGGGACUGAGACACUGCCCAGACUCCUACGGGAGGCAGCAGUAGAGAAUAUUGGGCAAUGGGCGCAAGCCUGACCCAGCGACGCCGCGUGAGGGAUGAAGGUCUUCGGAUUGUAAACCUCUUUCAGUAGGGAAGAAGCGAAAGUGACGGUACCUAAAGAAGAAGCACCGGCUAACUAUGUGCCAGCCGCCGCAGUAA
rnacentral:rRNA from 1 species